rnacentral:siRNA from 1 species
GAUGGACCAUAUAUUUACAUAG